UCAUAUUUUGGUAUUUUUUUCUUUUGUAUAAUCAGUGAAAAGAUUAUUGGGUUGGGAUUCCUAAUUUGAUAAGUUAAUUUUCUGAAGUUGAUUUAAAAUUGCGAUUCUGCAUUCUCUGCGGCAGAUUUUAAUUGCCUUCUUUUGCUUCGUUGAUGUGUGUUUCUGCCUUCCCCACUUAACUAAUCCAUGUUAGUAGCAGUGUGGAUUGUGUACUAUAGAAGAGUGCCGAAAGCACCUUCUUGAAUUGCUAAAAUUGUGUUUAGUGAUACCUAGUGGCUUGUAAAAAAAUAUUAUGCUUAGCGAAUCUUAGAAAGACAACGAGAAAGACUUUAGCUUAAAGAUAUGCUGUAUUUCAUGAAUGAGAAUAUGUAAAAGCUUAUUAAUUGACCUACAAUUGAGAAGAAGGUGAUACCAAAGUUACUGUUGCAACCUUGUCUGGUUUGCAUCUACAUAGAGCAGGAGUUAGCAACAGGUUGUUUGAGUAAUGGAUAAAUUUGAGAGUGUUGACAUGAAUGAUUAUCGUAAUCAUAUCUUGGAUGGAUGAAAGAGUUAUGGAAUAAAUGGAGAGGACACUUACAUGCAAAAUAUGUGAAGGAUAAGCCAAUCCAACAUGCUCUUAAGAAUAUUCCAAAGGGAGUAGAUAAGAAAGAAUGGGAGUGGUUAGUAAAGGAACAUUUUUCAUCAGAAAGUUUUCAGGCAAGAAGCAAUAGGAAUGCAGCAAACCGAGCUAAGUUGAAGAUGCUUCAUCAUAUUGGUAGCAAACCUAUUCGAGAGAUUAUUUAUCAAAAGGUACUAUGAUAAAAUAUCUAUAUUCUCGUAGCUAUGUAUUUGGCUUUGGGAGUGGAGUAAAGGCGAAAGACUUGAAAGGUGGCACUUCUUCAAAGGUUGAAUUACUGUCCGCGCUACGUUCAACUCGAGAGGAAAAUAAAUCUUUGAAUAAGGAAAAUAAUUCAUUACAGGACCGCUUGUCUACCUUAGAAGAUGAGAUGAAAGAAAUGAAGAAAAUAAGGAAAUCAUUCGCUGCUCAACAAUCACAUGUCUCGCCUACGACAUCGCCCGUUUCAACUGAAUGACCACUAUUUUUGUCUGCUGGCCAAGUUUUGAAGAUUGAAGCUACAAAAAUGCAAGUUUGGAUGACAUACAAGCUCAUUAUUACUUUGCUAGGAAUAUUAUGUAAAACUUGAUAUUGUUGUCUAACGCAAGAUGUUAGCUAAGCUUUUUUGUUAAGGUGUUGAGUAAAUAUUGAAACUAACAUCAUGGGAUGUUAACAUUGUAAUCAAUAUCUUUUUAUAUCAAGACUUUUUAGUAGCAA